rnacentral:rRNA from 1 species
UACGGAGGGUCCAAGCGUUAUCCGGAAUCAUUGGGUUUAAAGGGUCCGUAGGCGGUUUUGUAAGUCAGUGGUGAAAGCCCAUCGCUCAACGGUGGAACGGCCAUUGAUACUGCAAAACUUGAAUUAUUGGGAAGUAACUAGAAUAUGUAGUGUAGCGGUGAAAUGCUUAGAUAUUACAUGGAAUACCAAUUGCGAAGGCAGGUUACUAUCAAUAUAUUGACGCUGAUGGACGAAAGCGUUGGGGAGCGAACAGG